rnacentral:rRNA from 1 species
UACGUAGGGGGCAAGCGUUGUCCGGAUUUAUUGGGCGUAAAGAGCGUGUAGGCGGCCUGGAAGGUCAGCUGUGAAAACUCGAGGCUCAACCUCGAGACGUCGGUGGAAACCGUUUGGCUAGAGUCCGGAAGAGGAGAGUGGAAUUCCCGGUGUAGCGGUGAAAUGCGCAGAUAUCGGGAAGAACACCCGUGGCGAAGGCGGCUCUCUGGGACGGUACUGACGCUGAGACGCGAAAGCGUGGGGAGCGAACAGG